AAGUGCGCACUUUUUCAAAUAUUUUUAAUUAGUUUGAAAAAACUUUUAUUACUGGAAAUAAUCAUAACGCGAAAUAUUCUCCUGAGUUUUGGUCAGUGCAUGCAUCGGAAACAGAAACUUUUUCUAGAACGUAAAACCGUGGCGAAGGGUGGCAUCGCCGCAAAAAGUAGUUGUUGUAGGAAGCAAUUCCCAGUUUCUAUAAUCUUGUAUUGAAUUUACAAGAACUUAUUUUUGCAAAAUCUCAAAUUUCCAGAAAGGAUAACAA